rnacentral:rRNA from 1 species
AGUGAACGCUGGCGGCGUGCCUAACACAUGCAAGUCGAACGAUGAUGGAGGAGCUUGCUCUUCCUGAUUAGUGGCGCACGGGUGAGUAACGCAUAGGUAAUGUGCCCCUUAGUUCGGGAUAGCCACUGGAAACGGUGAUUAAUACCGGAUACUCCUUCUCAUUACAAGAUGAGUCGGGAAAGUUUUUUCGCUAAGGGAUCAGCCUAUGUCCUAUCAGCUAGUUGGUGAGGUAACGGCUCACCAAGGCUAUGACGGGUAUCUGGUUUGAGAGGAUGAUCAGACACACUGGAACUGAGACACGGUCCAGACUCCUACGGGAGGCAGCAGUGAGGAAUAUUGCACAAUGGAGGAAACUCUGAUGCAGCAACGCCGCGUGGAGGAUGACGCAUUUCGGUGUGUAAACUCCUUUUAAGAGGGAAGAUUAUGACGGUACCUCUUGAAUAAGCACCGGCUAACUCCGUGCCAGCCGCCGCCGUAAGAC